rnacentral:rRNA from 1 species
UACGAAGGUUGCUAGCGUUGUUCGGAAUCACUGGGCUUAAAGCGCAUGUAGGCGGCUCUUCAAGUGUCUUGUGAAAUACCCUGGCUCAACCAGGGAAUUGCUGGGCAUACUGUUGAGCUUGAGGCAGGUAGGGAUGUGUGGAACUCUUGGUGGAGCGGUGGAAUGCGUAGAUAUCAAGAGGAACGCCGGAGGCGAAAGCGGCGCAUUGGGCCUGUCCUGACGCUGAGAUGCGAAAGCCAGGGGAGCAAACGGG